GGCAUUUCUAAAAUAAGGAUCCCGCCAGGACUGGGGGCAGCUGAGAAAUUGCCCCUCUGUGUAUGAGUCUCAGGAACAUGUCUGCAAAACAGCAAGACAUCCUAGAAGAGCUAUGGGCCACCUAACAGGCUUCUAAUGUGCUAAGUAAUUGUCCUGAUAUCCACUCCAAAGGCACAGUUCAUUUAGGCCAAUUAAUCAAGUGAAAAUACUACAGUUGGAACACUGGAGACAGAAAAGGGAAUUAGUGUCAUUACAGAAGGAGAUUGUCAUCUAUUGUCUAGAGAACCCACUUCUGAAUACACUUCGGCACAACAUCAUGAAUGAAAACCUAGCUUAACAGAGUACAAAGUGACAGGAAGCUGAAGAAGGACUGGACAGAUCCUAAUGAGUCCUAUCAAUACCAAAGAAAGAUUUCCAGUAAAGAAAGGGAAGUCUGAUACGUUGAUUCUUCUCUGAGAUGGCUUCUUCAGGACACCUCUCUUGCAGAAACACUCCUUCUUAGACUACAGCUGAGCUGGGCCACAUGUGAACUGCUGCCCUCUGAGAAGAGGAGGAAGGAAAUCAUACAUUAUGUACAGCUUUCUAGGCCUCUCUUGAUGAACUUUGUGUAUGAAUCAUCAGAGUAUGACAGCAGCCUGAUGGGGACUAGAGACUGGCAUCUGUCAAAACUUGGUUUCCUCUUUCUGAAGUUGCUCAUCGACAUCUGUAAGCAAUAUUUUUAUGGGCCUGCAAACAAUUAUGCUUUUGUUUGGUGGAGCUAUAUUGGAAGAACCCUUUUGCUGGAAAGUGUCAGGACAGUCCAAUUAAAGCUGCUUACUUUCAUCACUUCUGGGAAAGAACUGUCUGGGUCCUGGCUUAAGGAAGAGUGGAAAAACUGUCCUUCCAGCAAGUUUUGAGGAAUUGCUUUCUGAAAUUGUCCCAAACACAAUGAAUCCAUCAGUCAUCACUUUAUAGCUUUCCAGCUUCAUAAAGACUUUGUUCCUCAGUCAAAUACAGAGGAAAUUUUGUUAAAGAAUUGAGGUUUUGCUGCAGCUUUCACAUGUCUUAUUGUUCUGUGUUGUUCACCGCCCCCAGUCUCAGCCUUGCAAAUAAAAUAUCUUUCCCUGCUAUAAAGUUAGCAGUUCCUUUUCCAGAGAGUCAGCUGUUGGAAAGAUGGAUUUAAGAGUGGGACACAGGUAACUUUGGAUUCCACUUCCAUCUCUGCAAUCAUCUUCCUGUUUUAUGUGGCUGUAACUUCUUGUUGCCUCAGUUCCUAAUCCUAUCUCAUUAUCUUAUAUAUGAACUGUUAAUUACAUGCAUUCAAACAUCUGAAA